ACGUAGUUGGCCGGGGCUUCUUUUGGAGGUACCGUCAAUUUCUUCCCUCCUGAAAGUGGUUUACAACCCGAAGGCAUUCAUCCCACACGCGGCGUUGCUGCAUCAGGCUUUCGCCCAUUGUGCAAGAUUCCCU
rnacentral:rRNA from 1 species